AGAGUUUGAUCAUGGCUCAGAACGUACGCUGGCGGCACGCCUAACACAUGCAAGUCGAACGAAGUAGCAAUACUUAGUGGCAGACGGGUGAGUAACAUGUGGGUAUCUACCCUUUGGCCUGGAAUAACACGAGGAAACUUGUGCUAAUACCGGAUAAGUCUUUACGGAGAAAGCUUUAUGCACCAUUGGAUGAGCCCGCACUUGAUUAGUUUGUUGGUAGGGUAAUGGCCUACCAAGACUAUGAUCAAUAGCUGAUUUGAGAGGAUGAUCAGCCACAUUGGGACUGAGACACGGCCCAAACUCCUACGGGAGGCAGCAGUGGGGAAUCUUGCACAAUGGAGGAAACUCUGAUGCAGCGAUGCCGCGUGAGUGAAGAAGGCCCUUGGGUUGUAAAGCUCUUUCGUCGGGGAAG
rnacentral:rRNA from 1 species